rnacentral:rRNA from 1 species
UACGUAUGGAGCGAGCGUUAUCCGGAUUUAUUGGGCGUAAAGCGCGCGUAGGCGGCUUACUAAGUCAGGUGUUAAAGCCUGGGGCUCAACCCCAGCCCGCACCUGAAACUGGUUUGCUUGAGUCUGGUAGGGGAAAGUGGAAUUCCCAGUGUAGCGGUGAAAUGCGCAGAUAUUGGGAAGAACACCAGUGGCGAAGGCGGCUUUCUAGGCCACGACUGACGCUGAGGCGCGAAAGCUAGGGGAGCGAACA